GGUGGGAAAACAUAGAAUCAUAGAAUCAACUUGGUUGGAAAAGACCUUUAAGAUCAUCAAGUGCAAUCAUUACCCCAGGACUCCCAAGGCCACCA